UUAGAUGCGGAUAAAUGGAAAAUGGGAAUGAUGCGGAUGCAUGUAUGCAAUUCAUGGUGCCAUCCUCCCAAUCAUCUGAACAUCAACUAUACUGGAUUCCGGUCUCUGAACUGAUCACAACCACCCAAGGGACUAAGUAACCACAAAUCCAACUCGGGGUUCCGAAAUAAACGGAACCGGAGGAUAUAUCACCAUCAUCACGGGAAAGCCACAGAACGGAU
rnacentral:lncRNA from 1 species